UUGUAAAGCCUUUGCAAACCUUAAAACUAGAUAAAUACUAGCUAUUGUUAUUAUUGGAUAAGUCAUUCUCAAUCAACUUGAUGAGACUACAGGGUCUGGAUCUUUGUCAGAAGCUCAGCCCUAUCUCCUUGUUGAGAGGAGACAGGGAACUUCCCUCAUGUGGUCCCCAGUGAAUGGAGCUGCCUCCAAGAUGACUGAUGAGCCUUGUCACAGGAGUUAGGUCCUCUGUGGCAUAUAAGAGCGACCUGGGGAACCUCCCAUCCUUUUUCUUGUCCUGACCUUUCUCUCUCUCAGAUUUCCAUACCAAAGUGCACAGUUAUUGGAGGGGGAUAUUUCCCUGUUUUUUCUUCACCACCUUCCUCCUCCCCCCACCCCCUACCCCCAGAAGAAAACUGCUACUUGCAGGAGAAAGACAAGCCAAAGCAGUCUGGGUUUGCCUUGGGGAACCUGAGCAGGGCAUUUCUAGACCCAGGCUUGUCUGCCUCCUUCUUUCUGUUUUCCCUUCGGAGCACAGGCGACGAUUGGCACUUCUAAGAAUGAGGAUUUCUAGGCUUGAGGGUUACUUUAUGGGUAAUCCUGAGUUUGGGAGUUUUCAAGUUAGGGAAACUGAGCUCAAGAAUCAGGCACCAGCCUCCCUAAGGGAGAAGAUAGGGAUCUGGGACAGAAGCCUGCCCUGUGGCUGACGGUGUACACAAGCCCUUGACAAUCCCUUGGGUAUUAUACUAGAGUGCUGAUGGUGCAGGUGUAAAAGGAGUGGGGAAUGUUUGUUAUUCAGCCCCAGAGUGUCUUUACCUUCUAGGCGGGCCCCCAAGGCCCAGGAGACCACAAUGAAGCAGACUGGACUCACUUAGACCAGGGCGCUUCCUUCUGGGGCAAGGGGGAGAAGGAGCUGGGCUGAAUCCAAAAAUGGCCAGAGUCUGUCUCAAGGCCUGCCUCAACCUAUGUCCUUCCAGGAAAAGUGUUGAAAACAAUGCUUAAGUAUGGUUCAUAUCUAGAGUUUUCCCCAACAGGUGGGUAUCAGAGACCAUUCCCACAAAGGUACUCAAUGUUCAAUAGGGAUACUGGGUAUGGGACAGUCUUAACUUCACUUCACAGAAAGACGUGCAUGUGCACAGAAAACAAACCAUCUCUAAUAAGCCACUUAACUACUCCUGGAAGGUAAAGACAGGUCUGUGAGAGGGACUGCUGAAUUAGGCUCUUUUGCACUCACUUUGCAUCCACACUUGCCAAGUAACUUGUGAGACCCAUUCUUUCGGAAUAUCACUGUAGCAGCUGAGAGGAGGAGGGCUUGGAGACUCGAAACAGUUAGAAGGGUACUGUGGCAGUCCAGACACGAGGUGACGAGGGCCUGCCCUGAGAUGGCAGCUCUGGGAGAACAGAGUUGUUGUGACAGCAGAAACAAGAACUGGCUGGAUAUGGGGGGUGAAUGGGAGCAAGAAGUCGAGGAUGACAGGGUUUUUUGAGCCUGGUUUGAUGCCUAAAUCCUACACUCAGAAACUCUUGACCCACAAACUUCUGUUCCUCAGAAUCACCAGCAGCUGACCUCAGAAAAGGAACUAAAAAAAAGGCCGAAGAGGGCAGCUAGGGAUUCAAGGUCCAGCUUGCAGUUGCUAUGGACUUCUGCUGCAAGCUUCCAUUGCCUUGGAGAGAUUAGAGAGUCGGGAGGGGAGGAGGAAAAGUCCCAGAAAGUCUGUACAUCUGAGGAAAAGGAAGUACUGGAAAAGAACUGCGAGUUAAGAAGUCGUCAGGCAUUUCUUAAAGUGACAGCUAUGUGUGUGCCAGACACACGUGCUAGGAGCUGGGGAUACAAAGAAAGGCCAACAAACAAGCCCCAGUCCUAGCUCUUCAGCAGCUCACCCUCUAAUGGGUCAGACCAGAGGGAAACAACUAAGUUCCCACAAGACGUAUAGAGGAUAAAUCAGGCCUAGUCUCUGCGGGAGGUCGCUGAGAUUCUUGAGAAGGACCGGGACAGGUUGCUUCCAGAAGGCGGGAUGUUAGCUGGGACGUGAAGAAAGCCAGGAUGAGGAUGGAGGGGGUUCCAGGCUUGGGGGGGCCGCCAGCGAAAACGUUCAGUUGGAAGAUGGAAUGUCCUGUGUGAGCAACAGUAAAAAGGCCUUUGUUUCUUGGAUCAGAGAAUACAUGGAGGGGAGUAAAGUGUAAGAAUGUCGGACAGAAAAAAAUGCAAAUGAAAAGCAGUCCUGAGGGCUUACCUCUUACCUGUACAAAGUGACUGAAUCACAAGCUAGGCCACACUGCACCUGGUGGAAAACCUCAGGCCUGCACAGAAUCCACAAGUCAACCUUGACCUUCUGCACGUCCACCUUCAUCGAAUGAAAGGAGCGAAGUGGUGUUCCUCCUGGGCACUGAUAACCCAGCCUGGCAUCAUUCCCCGCUCCUGCUCCCCGAGUGCCUGUGACUUUGUAUCCCCAACCCCUGCUGCCUGCACUCUCAUCCUGAAUCACCUCAACCCCUAUAAUGGCCUAUUCCACACCUGCCUGCCCCGUCUACUGAGCCCUUUGAGACGCCCUUUCUAUAAAACUAACAAACUUUGCUUUGUUUUAGAGCUCUUCUUAUGCUCCUUCCAUACAGUGUGUUUCACUGAAACCUGACUUCCUUCCAGAUGACACUGCAUCCCUGGCUGAACCUUCUCUCCCACUUCUAAACCACUGGUCUUAAAGGAGGGAUUGAAAUAAUCUUUGUAUCCCUACUGCCCUUUCCAGAUUUUCCUUCCAUCAUCAUCAUUUACCAACCUCUCCUCCUAUGAGGGUCACACCAUCUAAAUGUUAUCCCCCAGUCCAGAUUCUGGUGGCUGUUAAUUAUCUGGCCCCAGGGCAUUCUUCCUCCUUUCUCAAUUAAGUUCAGGGCCUGGCUCACAAAUCUCCUUUUCGCUCCAACUCCAGCCCUCACACCAGCAGACUUCAAUAUACAUGCUAAUGUUCCCUCCAAUGCCCUAAGCUCCCAGUCCUUCAAUUACUCAACUCUUGGCGACCUACUAAUCUGCUACACCUGGGGGAUAAGAACCAUCCAUUUUGAUCUCGCCAUCUCCCAAAAGUGUUCUUUUCUAUGAUCAAGAACUCUGACAUUUACCUGAUUAAAAUCUAUUUUUCCACCCUUUCCUUUGCUUUACUUUUCGGAAACCUCAUCCUCAUCCUUCACCGUCUGGACCUUAUCCAGCCCUACAGCCCCCUAGUCCUCUUCUGGGCUUUCACCUCUUUUCCUGGCUGCACUUUUCUUCCUUUCCAAGGUCAACUCCUUAGGAAACCAGUCCAACAGUACAUUCUCUGCUCUCCAAGCCUUGCCUUGUAGUGCUUGAACCUUGUCAAACUCCAACCGUGGACUACUCCCACCAGCCAUCUCCUCCACUCCUGGUCAUGGGCUGCCAAACAGAAUUCCAGU